rnacentral:misc_RNA from 1 species
UCGAGUUUUGAACAGGUUGUAGCUGGCCUUUCACAAGGCAUGUGGCACGGCUUGGCUCAUCCACUCUUUAACCUCUGUGCACUAUUCAUAGAACGGACAGAAGGCUGAGAAUCUAUUCUCAGUUCAAUGUCUGCUCUGUGUAAUUUUUCUACCAACUCUUGUUGUUAAUGAAUGUCUUCUUGCGGAUAACGCAAACAUAAAA